UACGUAGGGGGCAAGCGUUGUCCGGAUUUAUUGGGCGUAAAGAGCUCGUAGGCGGUUCCGUAAGUCGUGAAGUCAAAUCUCUGGGCUCAACCCAGAAUCGCUUCCGAUACUGCUGUGGCUAGAGUCCGGUAGGGGAGCAUGGAAUUCCUGGUGUAGCGGUGAAAUGCGCAGAUAUCAGGAGGAACACCAGUGGCGAAGGCGGUGCUCUGGGCCGGAACUGACGCUGAGGAGCGAAAGCGUGGGGAGCGAACAGG
rnacentral:rRNA from 1 species